rnacentral:sRNA from 1 species
GCAUCGGGUGUUCAGUGGUAGAAUGCUCGCCU